rnacentral:rRNA from 1 species
AUUGAACGCUGGCGGCAUGCCUUACACAUGCAAGUCGAACGGCAGCACGGGUGCUUGCACCUGGUGGCGAGUGGCGAACGGGUGAGUAAUACAUCGGAACGUACCUUAUCGUGGGGGAUAACGCAGCGAAAGCUGUGCUAAUACCGCAUACGCCCUGAGGGGGAAAGCGGGGGAUAGCAAGACCUCGCCCGAUUCGAGGGGCCGAUGCCUGAUUAGCUUGUUGGUGGGGUAAAAGCCCACCAAGGCGACGAUCAGUAGCUGGUCUGAGAGGACGAUCAGCCACACUGGGACUGAGACACGGCCCAGACUCCUACGGGAGGCAGCAGUGGGGAAUUUUGGACAAUGGGGGCAACCCUGAUCCAGCAAUGCCGCGUGAGUGAAGAAGGCCUUCGGGUUGUAAAGCUCUUUUGUCAGGGAAGAAACACCGGCUCUAACACAGUCCGGGAAUGACGGUACCUGAAGAAUAAGCACCGGCUAACUACGUGCCAGCAGCCGCGGUAA